rnacentral:misc_RNA from 1 species
UUUCCGUAGGUGAACCUGCGGAAGGAUCAUUAAAAAAUGUGGUACCAAUUGUUGGUACUAAUUAAUCAUCCUACCCUUUGUGAAUUUGUUUGUAUGAAUUUUUUUAAAUGGGUCUUUCCCUAAGUUGGAUUGUUAGUAAAAUGCAAAAAGACUUAGGGAAUGACUUUUUUAAAAGACUUUUUUUUAAUUAAAACUUUUUGUAUUCAUUUGUCUAAAAUUUAUUUUUAUAAUAUAAAAACAACUUUUGACAAUGGAUCUCUUGGUUCUCGCAACGAUGAAGAACGCAGCAAAAUGCGAUAAGUAGUGUGAAUUGCAGAAUACGUGAAUCAUCGAAUCUUCGAACGCAUAUUGCACUUUUUUAGCUUACUAAAAAAGUAUGUCUGUUUGAGUAUCAGUAAAAUAUUCUCACAAAACAUAUUUGUUUGUGGUAUGAGUGUUUUACAACGAUAAACAAGUUGUUUCACUUUAAAUUCUUUUAUGUAAUUUUACCAAUUCAUAAAUUGAAAUUGGAUAAAAUUUUCCUUUAACGAGGAAUAACCUAAACAAUUUUAAAUUUUAUGGUUUGUAAACAUCAUAAAGGAAUCUAUACAACAAAUAACUUGAUCUCAAAUCAGAUAAGAGUACCCGCUGAACUUAAGCAUAUCGAUAAGCGGAGGAAAAGAAACUAACAAGGAUCCCUUAGUAACGGCGAGUGAAGCGGGAAGAGCUCAAAUUUGAAAUCUUCAAGGUUUGACCUUGACGAAUUGUAGUUUAUAGAAGUGUUUUCUGUUGGAGUUUUGGUAAAAGUUCUUUGGAAUAGGACAUCAUAGAGGGUGAGAAUCCCGUAUUUGACCAUGACUUUCCAGCUGUGUGAUACACUUUCAAAGAGUCGGAUUGUUUGGGAAUGCAGUCCAAAAUGGGUGGUAAAUUUCAUCUAAAGCUAAAUAUUGGCGAGAGACCGAUAGCGAACAAGUACCGUGAGGGAAGAUGAAAAGAACUUUGAAAAGAGAGUUAAACAGUACGUGAAAUUGUCAAAAGGGAAGCGUUUGACACCAGUGUUGUUUUCUCGAAAAUCAAUUUAAUGAGUUCUUGUUUUUAAGUUAUUGUGACUUUAUCAGCGCAUUUCUUAUUUUACUUGGCUCAUUGAAUGCACUUUUCGUUUAACAAGUCAACAUCAAUUUCUUUGGUGGUAAAAGUUUAAAGGAAGGUGGCUUGGACUUCGGUUCAAGUGUUUAUAGCCUUUUUUCUAUGCCAUCGGAGAGAUUGAGGUCUGCAGCGUAGAUCCUUCGGGUUAGAUACCUUUGUGCUAAGUUAUAGUUUUUUAUAGACAACUUGUUGACUAUAAUUAACCCUGUAAUUUAUCGCUUAGGCUAUUUACCUACGCUUAGGAUGUUG